rfam:Arabis alpina cultivar Pajares Aa.chr3_contig_4185, whole genome shotgun sequence.
GGGUGUGAUCAUAACAACACUAAUGCACCGGAUCCCAUCAGAACUUCGCAGUUAAGCAUGCUUGGAUGAAAGUAGUACUAGGAUGGGUGACCUCCAGAGAAAUUCUCGUGCUGCACCCC